CCAAGCAGAGAAAAACAGGGCAAAACAUUCAUUUCGCGGGACAUCAACAAGCGGUUGCUGGUAUAAGUGCUUAGCUACUAGUUUGCCAUCGACUCCAACGGAACCAUCACUGCCAGGACACUUUGAUAACGCCUCAACAUUCAUUGUUCUGCGUGCAUCGAGUGAGUCGUUCGUGGAAAAUUUCUCCGAGCCAGCCAACAACUGUUCUGUUUCGUUAUGCGUUUCACCAGAACUGCCACGGACCAUGCGAAUCGACGAAAAGCGGCUGCGGUCCAAUCUGAUCCGGAGUCUGCAUGCAGUGCACUCGACGAUGUCCUGGUACAAGAUUCUGACGAGAAUGCCCGCGCUGCCGCUGCAUAGGGUCGACGAACUUUGCUGACUCGCACGGAUACACUGCCGUCAGCAUUCAAUAAGGAGUUCGAGAACCACGUCGCGUGAAUGGCAUAGCUGAGCAGAAGCAGUUCAACCUUGGAAGCAGUGUGGGCUCAUCCAGACCGCUAGCCUCGAGUAUCAGCCGACGGAUGCUAUUCUAUGCCAAUGAUCAUCAGCUGACUGCCUUCCGCUAGGUAUGUACAUUCCGUAUAGUAAACAUCACCUCCCUUUUUGAACAAUAACACUCGUGGGCCCCAAAUUACUUUUUGCUAAACACUUUUGUACAUUGCUUCGUUGAAUCUAUAGUCUGGUGUAGUUUUGAAUCAUUUGUUUAUUUCGCGGUUCAGAAAGAUUUAUUUUAUUCAAUCGGCUUUUGAGCCAAAAUGAAGUUAAAGUUCGAUCUAUCUGAACUACGAUUUACGAAGGCAUUUGAAAUUUACAUCGGAUUCAAGAUUCAGCGGGGCCAAAAAAAAUUUUUUUGGUUCGUAAAUUUACGUAUAUUUCAUCGUAAAUUUACAUGACUUGGAAAUAUUUUGCCUUGGCCCGUUUACAUCGGAUGGCAUGUAAAUUUAAAAUGAAAUAGAUGUAAUUUCGCAUCAUUAAUGACGUGCACUUUUGGUACAUCAUAAAUGAUGUAAAUUUACCGGAUUUUUUUUUUCU